rnacentral:lncRNA from 1 species
GGUCACUCUCCCUGCCUACCCCAGAAACUGGCCCUCCGCGCCUUUCCGGGAACCACCACCCUGUUUUACUCAAGCAGGGCCUGUGCCAGCCUUUACCGGCCUCUAUUUCAGAUAUGAGAACAGGCUUCCUGACCUUAUCUGCAGAGAGCCAGGGGCACACCUUUUCCCCAUCAGGGUAGCAGGUCCCAGCCUCUAGCUUCUGGUGGGGUAGGCACAGGAGGUGGUUUGCGGCGUCUAAGUCCUUCUUGGGACACUUCCUCUGCUUCUCUUUUUCUUUUCCUCCUGCAGAAGUUGAAAGUGCUUCACGCCCCGCUGCAGGUCUUGCUGUGUGGCUGCUUCCUCCUCUUCAUGGUGCCAGUGGCGUGCGGGCUCUUCCCUCAGGAAUGGUAUCAGCCAUUUGUCGCCUGCUUUGUUUUAUCAAACACUCUGCUACUGCUCUCAACUGACCUGCUAGGAGGGAGGAGUGGGCAUCUGCCUAAGUUCUGGCCUUCUAACUUGGGGGUUGGGAGGGGAUGGCACACCAGCCAGGACUCUGAGGGACUGGGGGAGAAGCCAGGAGUAAGUGUUGAUCUUACUCAAUGCCUUAGAGACAUGGCGGGGGGUGACAGGAGGCUUCUUGUCCUGCCAACUGAGUGUUAGCCAGGCCACAUCUGCCUGGAUCUGGCCUUUAAAGG